CACGAACCGUACGAACGUUAUUCGGAAUCACUGGGCUUAAAGGGUGCGUAGGCGGCCCGAAAAGUUGGGUGUGAAAUCCCUCGGCUCAACCGAGGAAUUGCGCUCAAAACUGCCGGGCUAGAGGGAGACAGAGGUGAGCGGAACUUGCGGUGGAGCGGUGAAAUGCGUUGAUAUCGCAAGGAACACCAGUGGCGAAAGCGGCUCACUGGGUCUCUUCUGACGCUGAGGCACGAAAGCUAGGGGAGCGAACGGGAUUAGAUACCCCCGUA
rnacentral:rRNA from 1 species